rnacentral:lncRNA from 1 species
GGUUCUCUGCUCUUUUUUUUUUUUUUUUGAAUAUUUAUACAGCAGGUUCAGAUCACAUUUUUCUACUAAUAAGAAUGCUAACAUCAUUGUGUAGAUAAUCAGCAAGACUUUAUGAAGUUUACACCUUUGCAUUAUUAAAGGAUAUAACAGUUCGUGUAAACCCAA